rnacentral:misc_RNA from 1 species
CAGACGCGAAAUGUGUUAUGACUUGCAAUCUUCGCGAAUCAUUUAAUCUUUGAACGCAACUUGCACUCUCGGGCUUGACCCUUGGGUAUACUUGUUUGAGUAUCGUCUAUGCGCUCACGCUUCCAGUGCCUUACCGCGCCGGUCGAGUGGACUUGAAGCGUAGGGACUGACCCUUCACGGGGCCGGACCCUUGCCUCUAAAUGCAUGAUCUGCGCCAGUGGAGACAGGUCCUCGCCCGCCAGCCGGUCAAACGGCCCGGGAGCCAA